UCUGUUUUAUUUUGGCUUCUAGAAUGUUAUAAUUUGUCAAAUAUGUAUAUGAACUUGAUUGCAGUUUUGCGAUGAGCCCUUUAUAAGAUUGACAACACCAUACAGGUAAUACUUUCUGGCCUGCACUUUUAUAUUUUUGUGAAAUAAGCAUAUAGAUCAGGUAGUUGAAACCACUAGCAGCAGCUCCAGUACUUGUUUUCCCACAUGU
rnacentral:ribozyme from 12 species